GCGGCGCCCUACGGGAGGCAGCAGUGGGGAAUAUUGGACAAUGGGCGAAAGCCUGAUCCAGCCAUGCCGCGUGUGUGAAGAAGGUCUUCGGAUUGUAAAGCACUUUAAGUUGGGAGGAAGGGCAGUAAGCGAAUACCUUGCUGUUUUGACGUUACCGACAGAAUAAGCACCGGCUAACUCUGUGCCAGCAGCCGCGGUAAUUAA
rnacentral:rRNA from 1 species